GUCCUCUUACUGUUUUUUCACAUAGAUGCUGAAGAAUAUGUCCUAAAUUCAGAUUGGGCAAAAAUCCACAGGACAGCAGUUGAGGUGACUCUGCCCCCUGAUCCAGCAAACCGGAGCCUCACAGUGUCUAAAAACAGAUUAAUAACAUUCGUAGGAGAAGAAUCAGCAGAGUGGCCCAGUGUGCGGGGCAAUGAGGGGUUCACCUCCGGGAGGCACUACUGGGAGGUGAAGGUGGGAGAAAGGGGCUACUGGGCUCUGGGGGUCUCCACACACCCUGAUGAGAAGAACAUACCUGAGAAACCAGAGGAGGGCUAUUGGCUUCUGAGACUGGGAGGGGGAAAGUAUGAGGCUGUGAGCCAGUCCAUUGUCACGAUCGCACUGCCAGGAAAGAAGAAGCUCGAGAAAGUGGGUGUUUGUCUUGAUUAUGAUGAAAAGAAGAUAGCAUUUUACAAUGUUUUUAAUGCCAAGACCAGAUUUCACAUUCACACUAUUGAAGGUGGAUUAUCUGGGCAGGUCUACCCUAUCUUCAGCCCAGGAUCACAUGAUGGAGACCCCUUGAUAAUCGUCGGUGUUAAACAUCAUAAUAAAUAGACAUUUUAUAAUGGCAGGGUCUCAACAUAACAGUAUUGUGACCCAAGUGUAUGGAUCACCACAGAGUCAUUAUAAUGAUUUAGGUGAGGCGUUAAGUAAUGGGAAUAUGCAAAUAUCCAACAUUGCAGUCUGGGCUGGGAAAGGGUGUCCCCAGUGGGUCAGUCUCCACGCACUAUUUUCGUACAGUGUCAAUGUGUUGUGUCACCACCACAAGCCUGGCACAGAUUAUGCAUACUGGAAAAGAGUACCUGCAUACAUGUGCUUACGAUCCAUG